rnacentral:lncRNA from 1 species
GGGAGAUGAAAACCUGUCCCCUGUCUCUGGUAGAUCUGGGAUUCCAGAGAUGGCCCCCAUUGCCAGUACGGAUGUGUCUUUUCCCAAGGCCCCAUUCCUCCUUUCCAGUCCUGACAAGUGAAAAGGAUCUUCACGGGACUCUUUGCCUGGUUCUUUCCUUUGUCUCCUUCCCUUUGGUUCAUUCCCGUGGUCAAGCAAUGUAGCUUUAGGAGGCAGUUUUCAUCUCGAGAUCCGUGGCUCCAGAAGGGCCUUUUCAUGAAUACUUGUCUGUUCUCUUCUUCCCUCCCAGUCCUAAUAAAUAGGCAGUCAGAAAUCUGCACGUGGCAUCAGAAAAGAACUAGGGGCAGAUAUCUGUCACGAAGCAGAGGCAGAUUGGGCUCUGCCUCUGAUCCCCAAAGUCUGGGCUGGACUCAGGGCAAUCUCAGUGGGUCCUGGCAGACAAGCCAUGGUCAUUCCAUAGGACAGUACCCCCUGUGCCAUACUCAGAUUUGCUGCAGAGCCGGGCCUGCUGGGCCUGGCAUUCAAGGCCAUUCCUGGGCCAGCCCCACCCACCUGUCACCUGUUAUUUCUUCUCUCCUGCCUCUUGCUUAUGUUGGAUCUCAGGCUCCACCCAGAUGCUUAUCCCCAAUUAUCCCUUAUGCGCUGGGCUCCUAACCUCGCUCCUGCUGUGUCCUCUCUGGAAAGUGCCUCACCUGCAUGAUGAACACAUCCUGUGUGUUUCUCAAGGCCUGAUUCACACAUUUCCCCCUCAGUCUGACCCAAGCUCUCAGGCAGAGCUAUCACUUGCAUUGAUGGCAUGAUUUAAACAUUUGCACCGGCUUCCUGAGCUCCUUGCUGAGGUGAUCACUCUCUGUCCUGUACGCUCUCAGCAUUUCUCCAGAAUCCUCCUUCUUUAUAAUGUCAUAAGCCUGUGCCUCCAUCUGUUGGAACUCUCUAUUACAAAUGACUGAUCACUCCAACUCACACCAAUGUCAGAAGCAAAGGGAACUCUUCUGGCCCUUAGCUUGGGCCAGGGCAUUUUCUUUGCUCUCCGUCCUCCAGGGUUGGCUCUACUCUCAGCCUGCUUCUCCACAGUAGCGGUCGGUUGCAUAAGCUCCAAGUCCCACACCCUUAUUUCCAUCAGCAGGGGGAAGCCAGCGUCCCCUCCAGCACUUUCACCCCCAAGACCUAGGGCUCAUCUUUUUUUCCCUGGUAAGACUUGGCUUGGCUUGGAUUCCCUGAAUCCAUUUCUGGAAUGAGCUCUCUGAGUUUGUAGCCAGGGGUGGAGCCCUGCUCAAACCACUUGGCCCUCGAGGAGCCCUCAACUUGGCCCUCUUGCAUCAGAGAGGGUGGAUGCAGGUCAGCAACACAUCAUCUCUCUCCCUUGUUAGAUGAUGAGCUCCUUGAAGAUAGAGGGCACACCUCUCACCUUGUAUUCAUUCAUUUCAUUCCACAAAUAUCUCUAAGGAGCCCUUGCUAUUUCCAGGCACUUCGGUGAGCACUUGCCCUUUUUAAAAUGUUAGCCAUAGCCCCAGUGUGCAUAGAGAUGAAAGGACCAUCCAUUCAGUCAAAAACUACUUGUUGAACACUUACUCUACAGCCCAGGCAGUGUGCUAAGCAUUGGAAAUACAAUGGUCGACACAGCACCCACCAUCCCUGCCCUCAUAGUCUAUAAUCUAGACACUGAGCCAAAAUUACAAAUAAGCAGGUAGAUAAUUCUACAGUCUUAUGAUCAAGCAAGGUCCAGGACAGUUCGGGAGUAUGGAGUCUCUUGAGCCAGCAUUUUGCUGGAGUAGGGGUGGGAAGGCGGAGCCAGAAAGACUUCCUGGGAAAAGUACCACCUGCCCUGAAUCAUGAGGGACUGGAGGUUAUUCCCCAGAGAAUCUUAUUUAGUGUCUAGCAUGGGAUAGGUUUUCAAUAAAUGAUUGAUGAGUGAAUGCGUUAAUAUAAAAAAUGACCCAGGCUUUCCUUCAGAGAGGACAACUGAAUUAAUUAGGCCCUAAUCACAAUGAUUCACCCCAAUGGAAAGGAACGUUGUUGCUUAAAAAAUGUUCAAAUCAUUCAUUUUUUGCUUUGAAAAUACCUCAUGGUCCCUGUGGGUCUUAAUGUUUUGCUUUCACUCACUUUGAAAGGAGUUCGCAUAUCAAGUCCUCACCAGAGUUGAUGAGAAGCGUCCAGAGAUAACUUAAAGGGAAAAAUAAACUUUGGACUGAAAGUGACAUGAGCAAUAGAUGAAGUGGGUAGAUCUGUUGGGAUUCGCUGAAAGCAUAGGGGGUAAAUCCCCACAAAGCAUAAUGAAUUGCCUGUUAUGGCCUCAACUAUAAAAUCAGGAUAAUAUCUGCUCAUAAGGUUAUAGAAAUUGGAGAUUACAGAAUGCAAACCAUUUAGCUCUGGGCUGACACUUGAUAUUUGCUCGAAAUAUGAUACCUGCUGUUGUUAUUGUUGCCUUUGUUGUUGUUGUUGAUGAUGUUAUUGUUCCUAAAAUGUGUUCAUCCAUUCCCUUACCCAUGAUGAUUUUUUUUUUUUUUGCAACCAGAGCUCCUUUUAUUACCAGAUUAAUUUUCAUCCAUCCUUCAGGUGGCAUCUCCACUAAAUCAUUUCUAACCACCCCCUCCCCCAGGCUGAUGAGAUGCCCUCUCUGAGCCAUGCUUGGACACAGGUACUGGUCACUCUGGAAUCUCAUUGCCUGGGAAUGUGUCUGUCUUGUCCAUGGGGCUGGGGAGCUCCUCCAGGGCUGGUAGUGGACAGAAUUUUUAAUCUUCUCCAGUUGUGAGCACACAUUAUAUGCUCUGCACGUUUGCUAAGUGAAUGAAAGAAUGAAUGCAUAAGCUACAGACAACUUUGUAUUCAUAAACGCCUGGAACCAGAAGAAGCCUCAGAGAUCGUUUCAUCCAAUUCAUUUGAAUUCUAGGGAAGGCGAGGCAGUGACUUGUCCAGGGUUACACAACAGGGAGGAGGACAUAUCCCGACUUCAAACAGGAUAUCUGGGGACCAGGCACCCAGUCCAGGGCCUUCUCUACUGCAUCACCCUUGGUCCCAGGCCUCAAAAAGAACUGCCAAGGGUCUGAAUUCAUUAGAUGAAGCCUAGUGUAUUAUUUUGCCCAGUAUAAUCUGCUGCACACUAACUCUGGGAGGAAAUGAUGAUGUAGACAAAUCGGUUUCAGUAAAAAGCCCUGUCUAAUUUUGUUUAACCCAAUUUGGCAGUAGAGUCCCUUCCUCUUUCUGGUUACUUUGUCUUCUUUUACUUGUUUCAUUUUGACUUUUGCUUGAUACAUGAUAGCAUCCCAUGGAACAAUAUUUUGAGGAACAGGGGACCCCGGAUGAAUUGUCAUUUGCCAUCGUCACAAACCAUUAUAUCCGAAGACAGCCAUAGGGAACAUCUGCCUCUACUUCCUUGUGUUGCCGACGGGGAAACUGAGAUCUGGGGAGGCAAAAGUGGAUGACCUGUAUCUCAAAGCACAAAGGGUGGCGUAUCCGUGUUUUAAUUGGUCCAGUCAAAAAGUGGUCUAAUAAUGUUGAAUGGCCCCAAACUCUCCCUAGAUUACUGAAAGCUUAAACAGUGACAGUUUCACUUGUUGUAAGCUGAGUUUCAGGGCUGAGCUAGGUGUCUGCUGCCUGAUGGAGAGGCGUCUCUGAUAGGUGUGAGAGUCAAGCUCAUCUCCCCUCCUCCUGCCAUGGGGACCUACUGCUCUGGGCCAUGCUGCUGUUAUUCAUUACAGCACAACUCCCUAGGCUGACAGAGCGCCUUCCCAUCUGUGACUUCUGACUGCUUUCUUCAUAGUGUCAGACUUAACCUCAUGACAGUUCUCAAGACCAUUCCUGACAGUUGAGGGGGGAAAACAAGAUUAAAUAAAGGAGGCCAAAUGCCUUGUCUAACUAAGGUGUCACACUUAGUCAAAAAAGGAACUGGCACAAAAUGCCUCGUGUCCUGGAGCCAUGUUUAAAAGGCCUUCCCAGGAGUUCCCAUUGUGGCUCAGCGGGUUAAGAACCUGGUUAGUAUCCUUAAAGAUGCAGCCCCCCACAGUGGGCUAAGAAUCCAGCAUUGCCAUGAGCUGUGGUACAGGUUGCAGAUGCAGCAUUGCUGUGGCUGCGGCUUAGGCUGGCAGCUGCAGCUCCGAUUCGACCCCUAGCCUGAGAACUUCUACAUGUCAUGGGUGCAGCCAUAAAAACCAACAAACAAACAAACAAAAAAGUCUUCCCAAUCUCUUCUACUCCUACUCCUACCCUUGACAGGUGAUUUAUUCCCUAACCAGAAUUAGGUCUGUGCUUCCCAGAGUCUAGUUCUCCUUGACUGCUGUGCCCUUACCUCUUCUGAGUGUUCUAAAGCCCUAAUCAUAUUGCAAGACCUAAUUCCAAAAGCUCCUUCUCCAUCAAAUUUCCUCCCAGCCAUGAACUUGGCAGCUCAACUGCCCCCAGGCUGGGACUGAGCACAUCUUGCUAAAAUCUCAAAGCUUCUGUUCCCAUCUAAAUCUUACUCUAACAACUAGUUUCUUGGGUGCACGACCUUAUUUUAUUCUUUCUGUGUCCUCGUUAAAGCAGUGCCUUGGAGGUCAGUAGAGCUCAAACGCAGCCUUUGAACCAGAAAGUUGGGAUGGAAUUCCAAGUAUAGCACUGGCUAGUCCUGACCUCUUAGUCAAACUGAAGAAUCUCAGUUUCUUCAAAAGCAAAAUGGCACAAUCAUGCAAAGUGCAAUGGAACACAGCAGGCAGCCAAUGACUGAUAGCAUCUAAUGUUGGAAUCUUAUCCCACCAGCACUCUAAUACAUUUACAUGCAAACAGCACACAACACUCUCUGCUCUGACACCACCCAGUGACACUUACCCUUCUCCCAAAUCUUUGGAGAAUUGUAUGUUUUCUCAGCUCUAAUGAUGCACCAGAAGCCCGAAUGCACUUCCCAGCCCUCUUGACUAUUCAAGUACUUCCUGCAAGGAUUUCCUUGGCCCAGAAAAAAAAUCCAUAACUCCUGACAAAUCUCAUUUAAA